ensembl:lncRNA
GCUUUCGCCAUCCACUCUUUCAUUGCCCUUCCAGGAAACACUGCUGGGUGCCUAAAGACCGGCGCGCUUCUUACACUUGGCAAGAGAAGAUAACAGUAAUGCUACAGCUUGGGCUUUGAAAGAUUAAAAGCAACAUUUAUUCCUUACAGUAUUUUCAAACUUCUUCAAGUUAAUUUGAAAUCCAUUUUAGAGAAUGUUUAACUAGUAAUACUGAUUUAUUUUUUUUAAUUUCGAAUAUAAUGUACUUGUUAUUUAAACCAAGUAAGAGAUAGAUUAAAGUAAGCGCAGUUCUUCAAAGUGCAUUAAAUGCUUUGAGCAGUCCUUUCCCUGUGCUGGAAGAAAUACCCCGUGCUUCUGGGACUGGUCUCUUUAUGAUAUCUCUGUAAAAGCCCUGGCAAGAAAAGAUCGUGUUUUGAGAGCAAUUUCCAAUUUUUCAGAAACUUUUUGUACCCCUCCCCCUUUCAGUGGCUGACCAACCUCACUGCUAGCCAAGUAGAGCACAAGACUCUCCCUUCCCCAGUUUGUGGGGCUGCUGAUAAAUUAUUCAUACCGCUAAUGAGGAUUGAGAAUUUUCAGGCAUUUUUAAAGGCUUGCAUCACUUCGUCAACAUUUCUUUCACACCUGCAUGCUUCAGGCAGUCAGGUGUUUAAAAUUACCGACACAGAGCUCUGCCCUUCUCCCCCUGAAAGUGCUUUGCUCAACAGUGGAGUCCUGUGGCUAUUUUGUCUGUUUGUCUGCAUGAGGUUUUUUCUGUGCUAAUUAGCGUGAGGGGAAAGGGGACUCUGAGAGGACUGUGUUAAUUACCAAAAGGGAUCAUGUAUCUCAGCUUAUAUUAAUUUUGAAAUGACAAGACACAGGUGCACAUUUAGUGGCAGUGAAUGAAUGUUAGCAUUUAAAGGCCUUUUUUUUUUUCUUUUUUUUUUCUUUUUUUUUUUUUUUCCCCCUCCAAUGGAUGGAUCUUCCUUUAGAGGGAGUUAUCAGAAGGAACAAUCUCAAAGUAAGGAAGCCCCUGCUGAAGCUAAGAGCUACAUGAUAUGAAAGGACUGAUUAUGUUUAUAUUAUGUGGUCUCCUGUGAAAAAAUCAAGCCUCCCAGCUAGUAGAGAAAGGUCACUGGAUCUGAGGAAACAACUGACUCAGUGUCUUAAUUCUGAAGGAAAUGAGUCCUUUGUAGAUGAGAGGGAUUUUCUGAUCUAGUUCAGAGAAAGGCAUAGAACUAUGAAAAUAAGUUUUUUUAUGUAGGGUUGGAGAAUAAAGAGGAGAAUCAGAAAGACUAGGAAUGGGAAGGUAAAAAAAGUCUCCCAUAUAGGUUUUUUUUUCUUUUUUUUUUUUUUCUACAUUUAAAUAUUCCACGGGUGACUGGAAGUGCUGUAUUAAUCUCCGUGCCUCCGUGCAUCAUCCGUAGCACCCUUAAAAAAACUUGGUGGAACGAGAGUGUCUGAAGAGGACAUUUGUGGCUUUGGCUGAAUGCAAAGGUUAGAGUUGGCAUCAGUGGUGGCCCAUUGUACCCUGGGGAGUGUCUUGGGUAAGCUGGGCCCCUUCACUUUGCUUGGGCACUGCGCGUACUGACUGGGGGUCUCAAGCAUACAAUUCCUUCCCGUAUAUCAUUUAGCACAAAGAAAGAGGGAGAGAUAGGCAGGGUGAAGCAGGAAUGCUUACACAACAGUGUGGGUUUCCACAGCAAAGACUGAAGGCAGAUGAAUUUGGCUAUAAACAGGAAAAAAUGAAGCUAAAUUUAGCUUGUUCCCUUACUUGGCGUCAUAAGGUUACUGUGGGCAUAGUUUCUGUGGCCUUGUAUAGGUACACAGGAAUGCAUGUGUGCUAGUAGCCAAGCUGUUUUGGUGAAGACCAUGAUAGUUCUGUGAUAUUACAAAAAGUGUAGGAAUCUAAAUCCUCAUAUAAGCUGCAAGAGCAUCAUGAAGUACAAGCUCUGUAAAUCUUUACAGAUACUGGUCACUUGAAACGGAUAUACUUGUGAGCUUUGAUGUAUAUGCCAAUCAUUCAGUCAUUCUUGGAUAACAAUUUUGCUCUGAAAUAAAACCAACUGACUAACUGGGGAUAACUUCAUGCCCUAGCAGGAAGUAUAGAGCAUGCUUAGUACUAUGCUUACAAUGAAAGUGGCCAUUUUGAUAAAGCAGAUCACUGUAGAAGCUGAUCAGAAAUGCAAAUGCAAUAGAAAAUUGUUUUUAAUGGCUUUUGAGGAAAUAUUAAGAUUUAUUCGUGUAGAGACCUACUCAGCAUGUUGCACAAAUUCCUGUUAGCACACUAAUAAGUCAAUGUGUUACCAAAUGUUUAGUCAUUAUAAUUACAGCCACGUAUUGUCCUUUUUACAAAUAGGUCUGGCUUAAUUGCACCAUUUUUCAGCAGGAUUUAUGUGGUCCUGUUUAAUCUAAAAUUAGUACAUGCACAAAUGAAGUGCAAACUAUUUUCCAUCACUGAACUGUGAAAUAUUCUCCAGAAUAGAGAUAUACCAACGUGUUCUGAAAAAGAUGCAAUAAGCAGUCAGGCAACUUUGUGAUUUGUCUGCUUCUAUACAAUUUGCUAGAACUAAAAAAAAAAUACACUAAAACACACAUUAACGGCCAACUGAACAAAAACGUAAGUUAAAUGAUCUAAAUUGAGCAGUACUGUUUGAUCACCACCAGUUAGAGGAUGGGGGAAAUCAUAAAUCUAUCUUGAUAUUGCUAGCUUUCAGCAUUUAAGUACAGUAAGAGAUGGUGCGUUUAAUAUAUCACAUCCAUCUAUCACAUGUAAAUGUAUCGCAUUUCUAAGAUGCUCUGUAGGCCAAAUUGUGAAGGCCUAAAUUUUAAGUUACUAUGACUAAUAUUUCUUAUUACCCACAUAGCUCUGAGAGCCUAAAGAUGCACGUAGGACAUGGUAGACAUAUAAGUGGGAGCUGCUUGAACCUGGGACACGUGUAGCAAUUGCAAUACGUACAUAGUGAUGUGAUAUUUGGAAUAUGUGUGACUUCUAAGAGUAUUGUAACUUAGACAUUAAAAUCUAUAUGCAUGGCUGAAUCCCGCUUGGAUCUAAAGGCCUAACACUGGCUGAAAUCUUGGUUCUACUUGCAUCUAACAGGAAAAAGUUUAUUUGUCUUCAGUAGAGCUUUGGUCUUCCUGUGUAGAAUAGAGACUGUCUGACUACUGUGAGGAAAUGUGCUGGUUUUUAGGGUGAAUCAGAAAACCAACAAAAGUUCCCAUGUUACCUGAGUACUAUUAUGGUAGUGCUAAGGACUGUUCUGUCUCUAAACAUGGGAGAUUCUUCAUGUUGUCUUCCUGACAGUAUUUGUAGCUGCAGUGUAGAUAAAUGCAGUUUUGUGCAGUAUGAGUUUGAUGUGGAAAGUAGGAGAAUGUCUCUAUUAUUAAAAAUAUAUGAGGAUUGAAUAUAGCUCUUGGUUCAAAUCUACUCUUGGUCUUUGUGGUUUGAAAUUAUUUCUUUGUAUGCUUCAAUGGGCCAAAAUUUUGAGGACUUACUUGAAGUAGGGCACACAGUGACAUGUGGGGUAUGAUCUUACCCAUGAGACACAUGCACUGUAGUGCGUAUGAAUGGGUUAAUAUGCUGACAAGCAGUAGCUUGCAGGUCACUGCCAUUUCUCUCUGCUUCAGCAUGUCACCACAGUAAUUCACACUCUGAAACCUUAAGGCUAUAUCUGGUAACGUUCACUUCUUCAUGCUGCAAAUAGAAGCUUCAGCAGAGCUGUCUUUUAAAUAGCACCGGCCCUGAGCGAGCACAGCGAUCCUUGGGGAUCAGAACCAUCCUCAGUGUGGCUUACAGCGGUGUUUGUGAUGUGUAUUAUCCCAAAGCUGAAAGUACUGAUGCACUAGUGAGAGGCUCAUCCUUCUCUGCAGUUCUUUGCCCCAAAUGCUGUGUGAUGACAACAGAGGUGCUCCCAAAACAGGGCCCAGGACUCCUCCGGUGCUUUAGGAUUGUGCUGAGGUUUGAACCAGUGUGACAUUGGUCCUGCCAGCCCUGACUGUCACCCAACAUCACUCUGCUCUUACCAAACAUCUACUUUUCCUAAGAAUUUUUGUAAAUUAAAGUCAAGUGCCCAGGUUGAGGGAUUUGCUACCAUCUGUAAAUGAGGUGUUUCUCAGGUAAACUUUUCCUAAAGCACUUUAAUGAAAUCAUUUAAGGACUGUUAGCUUCAUUUGAUAAGAACAAAACCUGAUCCAGGAGUAGGAUGUGGGCAUCGUAAUCAUACCUGGAGAAAUCAUAUGUGGAAAAUGAUGUGACACCAGAAUUUAGGGGACACUUUCCUAAGGAGGCAUGUUAGUUGUGGAUGUGAUGCUGGUAGUCUGGGCUUUGGGUGAAGUCCUUUGUAGGUAUAGAAACCCUCCUUAGCACAGGAAAAUGUCCUCGGAGCACAGAGCUUGAGUUUUCUGAAAUAAUGGCACUUCUAAAUGAAUGUGAGGGAAGGAAUAUGCCUUGCUAUCAAUUACUCAAGCUACUCAUUUAAUAGGUUCUGUGAUUUUGGUUGCUUCCACAACAAACAGCAUUUCCAGUGCUACAUGUUUUUUUGAACAGCUUCAGGUAGGCAGCUUAGGACUGCUCUGAUUUUGUUGUGGAGCACUGUUUCCCUUUAGCAUGUUCUCCACAUAGGGUGACCUACCUUAGCCUGCCUGCAUGCCAGGGGAUGAUCUCCAUCUGUUGGAUACGUGUCAUGUGAGCUGCUGACCUGCACUGCAGUAGCACCCUGCAGCACCCGCAAGAUGCUCCGCUGGCUGCUGUGUGAUACGGAGCAAGGAGCACCUGCAGCAGCCUGGAGGAAAAUGGGUCACUCUUGUAGGUACCUUAAAAUAUGAAGGAAAAUUCUUCCUGAAAGCUGUGGAGCUGGAAGCAGUUAUUUAAGUCCUUUUUAAGCAGAAGGGCUGCUCUUGCCUUAGUUCACAGAAAUUAAUGCUGAAGGCACCUGGACUCAAAGGAUGGAAGCUCUGCUCGCUUUUCUCAAAUUGGUUAUUCUGAUAUUUCUGGUGCAUCUUGAAUAUGUAGAAGCAGCAGAACUUGUCUCAAGGAAUAAAGGCAUCAGCACAGGAAGAGGACAGAUGGUGCAUGUUCCUGAAACUGAACCACGGCUCCAUGUUCCCAAAGAAAGUGAAUCCCACAAGGUAGACGUGGUUUUAAAUGAACUGGGGACACUGACAGUUGAGAAAAGAAGGAAUGCCUCAGGUAGCUUUUAAAAGAAGAGCCUGGAGCAGUUUUGUGCUCACAGGAUGCUCUCUGCUCCUUGCAAUCCUGAGGCCUCAAAACCCACUUCGCUUGCCUGGGGGUGCUGAGAUGCUGUACGACUGGCUUUCCUGGGCUGCACUCCAGCUGUGCAGUGUCUUGUGUUAAACUAAUUUAUUCUCUCCAAAGAGAUUACUGGCAUUUAAAUGGUUAUUAAUUAAGGAGAAUUUGUGUUUUUCUCACCUGAUUUUUUUUACAUGCUUGGAAAUAGCAUUUAUUCACGCAAGUUUCUGCUGAAAAACGACUUAUUAAUUCACCUCAGCCUGUGGCCAGCAGUCUUUUGAAGCAAAAGUGCAAGGACUGGUGUAGGUAAGUUACAUGUGUUGCACAGGGAAGAUGUUUUCCUGACUCACACUGGUAGAGGAUGAUAUUCUCUGAACUGUGAGAGUUCCUAAACCUUCCAGAAGACUUCUGCUUGAUUUUCAAGCCUUAUUAUGGUAAGUUGACAUAUUUUUUUAUUUGUUCCUAGCAGAAUUGGUCUUGGAGUGAGGAAAAAAAUACAGAUUAAAUGAUAGUUAGAAUCAUAAGUUUACCAGUUUGCUGGAAGUGUGCAUCUAUGUAUUUUUUUUCAAAUUUCUGCACUGCAAUAGAUUUCUUUUUUUCUUAAUUCCAGAAUGUAUUUGGAGUGUUUCUUUAUCUCUGAUUCCUGUAGGCUGUCUGCAACUACUCUAGGCUGAGGAUGAGCUUGAAAAGAAUACAUAUAUGCUCCUGGAAUAUAAAUUAAUCCUUAACUUCUCCAAGUUAAAUUGGUGAUAACAUUUUUUACCUUCUCAGAUACCAGUUAGUGUCACAAAUAAACCCUGAGUUGUUGUGAAGGAUCAUCUGAUUUCCUAGAUUAAUCCAAAAGAUAUGCUUUCAGAUCUUGAACCCUUCUCCUUAACCUCUGUUCCAAACAUAGUUUAUGCUGAGAUGAAGCAGAGACAAAUACACAAUAGAGCCUAAAUAUUGCUGCCUAAUAGGAACAACUGAGGGGUGUGUGCUAUAUCUUCUCAUAGCAACCAUAGGCCACAUUUCAGAUAUGGGGACUGAAUGGAUCCCAUGCAAUUGUUUCCAUGGUUGCACAGGGUUUGGUGUACCCAGUGACAUUAAUAUUCAUGUCCUUAAUAAAAUAACUUGUACAAAGACAAUUCUUCCCUGUUUAUUUCCUAUCUUAAACGAUUAUUCUGUAGAUGUUCAAAUGGAUUUAAGAUAUAAAAGUUACAUUAAAACGUACAAUUUUUUUUUUUAGCAUGGACUGAGCCUUUCAUACUUAGGUUUACUGGAUGGUAGACUACCAUAGAAAUACUUCCUCCCAUAUGUACAAGGAAGCUGGACUCAAGUAUUGCUCACUUUGGAAAAAUGCCCCUGCAAGUUCCUGAAUUUCUUUGGCACGCAUAACAGAGUGGACAGAAGCAUCUCAAUCUUCACGUGUGGUGGUGUUGGGCCAGGUACAGCCUGCCUACAUGGAUCAUGUCUCCAGAGACACUGCUUACUGCUUUGGGUAAAGCAGUGGCAGUGGAGAAGAAGCAUUUACCUGAAUAUCUGCAAAAUGCAAGCAGAAGGAAAGCUGUGGUUCAAGGUGCUGAAGAAAUGCCAAAGGACAAGCUAAUGCUGCAUGUUGCUAGCCACCUGCUGCAGGAUACUUCACCCAUUUGGAGAACUGUGCAUAGAAUGCUACCACCUUCAGUCAGCAGGAUGUGUCUGAUACGAGAGCUGCUACCUGCCACCUGAUGUGUCUCACCCUGGGAGACAGGACGAUGAAGUAAUGGAGCCUGGCUGUCUGCAGCCAGGGCUGCUGUACUACAUCCAAAGCAAGCUUGAAGUCAGCAAGUGCUGCAUUAAUCUUUCUGGGAGUGUUUGUUUUGCUUGUUUUGUUAGGCUACAUUUCAAGCAACUGAUAAUGUGUUCGUGAGCAGUUCUCCUGUUGCAGCCCAUUUUUCAAAGGAAGUGUGAAGACCGAUGCUCCAAAGGUUUGGUGGAACAUGAGUGUGAAGGGUUAUGUAUGAUCAUGCUUGAAAUGUGUGAGCUGACAGUGCUUUCAAGUGCAUGUUAAUAUGUCUGUGCAGGUACUUUUGGGAUAGAGAAGUUAUGGCUUUGUGUGAAGUCUGAUCAGUGUUUUAAAAAAUACACCUUUGUCAUGGUUCUUUAUGGAUGCUAAUUGUGCUAGUGCAGCUACCUCACUGCAAUUGAGUUGUGUGUUUAUUUACUUACUGAUAGUCAAGUCUUCUAACUAAUCAAGGCUAAACUCUGAAGCUUUCUGAGGAUUAAACAAUAAAUGCUUUAUUGCUUAAAGCUUUUUGAGCAUUGAAAUGCCUGAGAUUUUUGGAGGUAAAUGUCAGUGUAUAUGGCUUGUUGCUACCUGAACUUGUAGUGUCACUGCUCCGUCCA